ACACUUGAGAAAGCAGAAGAGUCUAAAGUCAGAAGAAUUGGAUGAAGUGAUGCCUCAGUCACUUGCUGGUUGUGGAUCCCAGGCACACCUCUUUAUGGAAAACUCCUCGGGAGAUGUUUCUCUCUGGAUUCAGUAACAACAGUUGUUCCUCACAGUUGACUGUAUUAUUUUAACUUCAGGGAACUGUGACCCUGUGACAGUUCCAAUCUGUU